CAUCUCCAUGGAUUACCUGCUGAAUCCAAUAUGUUCAUGCCAGGUAUUGAGUAUGGAGAGAGAGUGCAGCAGAGGAGAUGCCCAUUCCAUCUCUGGCUCUUUCCGUAGCCUAGGGGUGGAAGCUAAUCUGCAACAAGU
rnacentral:snoRNA from 1 species